rnacentral:rRNA from 1 species
UACGGAGGGGACUAGCGCUGUUCGGACUUACUGGGAGUAAAGCGCACGUAGGCGGAUUUGUAAGUCAGGGGUGAAAUCCCGGGGCUCAACCUCGGAACUGCCUUUGCUACUGCAAAUCUCGAGUCCGGAAGAGGUGAGUGGAAUUCCUAGUGUAGAGGUGAAAUUCGUAGAUAUUAGGAAGAACACCAGUGGCGAAGGCGGCUCACUGGUCCGGUACUGACGCUGAGGUGCGAAAGCGUGGGGAGGAAACAGG